UUCGGCUCGCCUAAUGCUGCGUCGGUUCCCGCCCUUUUUAAGGCGAAUAGAGGAGUAAUGGGGCCCUGGGACGUGUUGGCUCCUUAUAAGAAAAGGAUAAUAACCCAGGAAUUGUAUUUAACAUAAUCUGUCCCAGAGACGUCAAAUGACCUCAGGUCACCAGUGAGAUAAUCAUCUAGGUCACGCUGUGUUCUAUUAUCUGCUAAACUAAUUAAGAAGGAGUCAUUUGCCAAACAAAGCAACAAGGGUGAUUGACUAUGAAUUAACUAGCAUGGAGCGCUCAUUUGCAUGCCCGCUACCCAGAAUGCCUGGCAAGUGGGAACGUUCUCUGCCUAUGUGAUAGUGCCGGGGUGAGAGUGAUAUCCAUGGGAAACCAUUUGGAUUUAAUUGGAAUAAGUGUACCCCCAGAUCUGUUCUUUUAUUCAUGGAAUCGCUAAGAAUUGAAAACACCAAGCGCCAAUAGUUUCCCAAGGUAGGCAGGUGUCCCGCUAGCUGAUCCAGUUCCAGGCUCACCAAACAUCAAUGUAACCACCCGUAGGACUCAAGGCGCUUUACAGACAUCAAAAACAAUGCACAAAAUACAGAAGAUUUAAGUAAUACAGCAAUUGACAAGCCACAAAGACAUAAAAAGAAAACCUUGAGCACACGCAUGAAACUGCCCCACUGCAGGUAAAGGUGGAAAUACGUAUCCUGUUUUUGUAAAGUUUCUGUGGUGUCCCAACUACAACUAAUCUUCAAGAUAACGGGACCAGUAAUAAAUGGGAGAGAGGAGUCAAUGUAUCCCACAGUAUAAGACGCUUAUUUUAUUCAUUUUCGGUAAAGCAAUUCUUCAAGUCUUUUGAAUCCCCUCUACACACUACUAUACAGCAGAGAUCAGAUGCGGGAGGAGAUGGACAUUGGCUGCGAUGCUGUAUAUACUGUAGCACAGCAGUUCCUGUAAUGGAGUGUGUUCCUACCACACGCUGAAUAUCUGGGAUACAGUGGGUAAGACUGACAGACAUGCCAAACCUGAUGUCAGCUGGAGAAUCACCAUUGCACAAUUACCACAAUGUUUUGGAGAUUUUGUUUAGAGAGCAGCUGUCCACAGCUAGCAGGACUGGUAGGUAAUAGAACAUUUUUCUGCAUUGUCCUUAUUCUUCACUAUGAAGCUCUAUGGAAAUCCACCAGGAUACUGUCACACGUGGAGAUGGGUGAGUGUCUGUCAUUCAUUGGUCCUGGGACUGUGACUCAGGAGAAUAGUAAAAUAUAACUACUGUAUACUGUACGUACAAAAUUACACUGUCUGUUAAAGAGAUACACAAUCUCAGAUGUUCACGUCAAGUUUCCAUAAAGUUUGUAAUCCUGUGAAUCUCUAGUAUUGUAGAACUACAAGUUCCAGCAUACUCCGACAUCCAACAUCUGGAGAGAUACAGGUUGUUUCAGCCCGAUAGCUAUAUUUUAACAUUCUAUAUACAAAAUAACUAUAACUACCUUGCAUUUAUUAACAGUUUCUUAUAUAGUGGCAACAUGUUCCGUUGCGCUAGACAAUUGGUUACAAUGCAGUAAUAAAACAGGACUGGGCAAUAAAAAACAGACAGAGAGGUGAAUGGGCCCUGUUCUCAAGCUUACAACUAUAUUUUAUUUAUUAACGGUUUCUUAUAUAGCGCAACAUAUUCCGUUGCGCUUUACAAUUAGAACAACAGUAAUAGAACAAAACUGGGUAAAAACAGACAUAGAGGUAGGAAGACCCUGCUCGCAAGCUUACAAUCUUCAUUUGGUUUUAUCACACAUUAAUUAACGCGAUGGAAAAAUAAAUACAACUAAUAGGUACAUUAUGUAAAUAGUUUAUUUCAUCAUUAAUAAUUGUACCUGCUAAAACUUUUUUAGAUUGAAGGAGCAUACAAUUUCGCAGUGGUGUAAUACUUCUUCCUGCCUUCAGAGUUGAAGGGUGGCGCUGUCUUCACUGGGGGUAUUUACUGACAACAUGGCUACCUCAUAAAUUUCUAAAUGCAAAAAUCAAGUGGUGCAUGACAGCGAUGAAAGGAGUGUGAAUACAAUGACUUUCCUAUUUUUCUGUUUAAUUAAAGAAAAAAGUUGUGUUUUAUAAAACCACCCUAUUAAAUAAUAAACUCUCUGAAAACGCUAUGGCAGGCCCAUGAGACAAGGCCAUAAAAAUGGCGCCAUUUAAUGGCGAUACAAGAUCUUGACUUGUGGCUAGUUUGCAGCAUAUUUCACAGAUUAUUUAUUGCAUUCUCCCCACUGCAAAAUUAAAAAGCAGCAACUUCUGAUUUAUCUGAUGAAAGCAACCAAAAUAUAACUCUUAUUUUCCUUGACGAAUCUGGCGUUGUUGUCUCGGAGGCUUCGGUACUUUAUUAUUGUUAUCUGGAAUAAAAAAUAAUGCUGCACGAAUGCUUGGAAACAGGAACCUCCAACACAAACAAUGUGUAUAUAUGGAAUACACGUUUCCCGGGAUCAAUAAUAGGUCAGUGUUACUCCUCUUUUUCUUUUUUUGCAAUAUUUCCAUUUUCUGGCUUGCUAGAUAAGUACAAUAUACAUAUGGAUACAAGUAAAAAAUAAAGAAACCUUUAAAUAUCUCAGCUGCAAAUGUUCUACAUGUUUUCCUAUUUUGCAGCCUGAUUUCUGUCCCCUGUAAAGAAAACUGAACGUGUUUUUUUUGUUGUGUUUUUCUUCUUCUUUCUUUUAAUAACCCAAAUAUUACGUAUUAAAGACUCGCAGUGACUCACAAUGACAAAAAACUGUAUUUUUCCAAUACACACCAGCACACAUUUAAUAACCUCCCAUGCUUCUCGGCUAGGCCCUCUGUCUGAUGGUUACUAUGGCAACACAGAUAAAACGCAGCCAUUUUCCAUAUCUCUAUGAAAGUCUAUUAUAUUGCAGGAUUAGUUCAUUUUCUCAUAAGGUCAAACACAAAGUCACACAACCUGAAAUAUUUAGAAUCUAUGUACACUGGAUUUUUUUUUUCCUUUGGCCUUUCAGCAUCCACAGAAGGGUGAGGUUUUAAAGGGGUGUUUCUGCUCUGAAAAUGUUAAGCAAUAAUGUGUGAUUAAUAACUGAGGAAAGACACAAUUGUUUUUUGUUUUUUUUCCUCUUAGCCUUUUUAAUAGUUAGGGUGCAUUAUCUAUCCAUCUCUGCCUGGGAGUUAUGCUUAUAUGAUUCACAUAAUUGCAUGGUGUCUGCAAUAUGCAAGCGGACAGCGCCAUCUGCUGCUGGUUACUGCAAGUUGCAGUCGGUCCAUUUAUUUCUAAAUGACUGUGUA